AACGAACGCUGGCGGCAGGCUUAACACAUGCAAGUCGAGCGCCCCGCCAGGGGAGCGGCAGACGGGUGAGUAACGCGUGGGAAUCUACCCAUCUCUACGGAAUAACGCAUGGAAACGUGUGCUAAUACCGUAUACGUCCUUCGGAAGAAAGAUUUAUCGGAGAUGGAUGAGCCCGCGUUGGAUUAGCUAGUUGGUGGGGUAAAGGCCUACCAAGGCGACGAUCCAUAGCUGGUCUGAGAGGAUGAUCAGCCACACUGGGACUGAGACACGGCCCAGACUCCUACGGGAGGCAGCAGUGGGGAAUAUUGGACAAUGGGCGCAAGCCUGAUCCAGCCAUGCCGCGUGAGUGAUGAAGGCCCUAGGGUUGUAAAGCUCUUUCACCGGGGACGAUAAUGACGGUACCCGGAGAAGAAGCCCCGGCUAACUUCGUGCCAGCAGCCGCAGUAAGAC
rnacentral:rRNA from 1 species